UAGGGAAUCUUCCACAAUGGCGCAAGCCUGAUGGAGCAACGCCGCGUGAGUGAAGAAGGUCUUCGGAUCGUAAAACUCUGUUGUUAGAGAAGAACAUGCAGGAGAGUAACUGUUCUUGUAUUGACGGUAUCUAACCAGGAAGCCACGGCUAACUACGUGCCAG
rnacentral:rRNA from 1 species